rnacentral:rRNA from 1 species
GGGUUGUGAGGUUAAGCGACUAAGCGUACACGGUGGAUGCCCUGGCAGUCAGAGGCGAUGAAGGACGUGCUAAUCUGCGAAAAGCGUCGGUAAGGUGAUAUGAACCGUUAUAGCCGGCGAUGUCCGAAUGGGGAAACCCAGUGCAAUUCGUUGCACUAUCGUUAACUGAAUACAUAGGUUAACGAGGCGAACCGGGGGAACUGAAACAUCUAAGUACCCCGAGGAAAAGAAAUCAACCGAGAUUCCCCCAGUAGCGGCGAGCGAACGGGGAGCAGCCCAGAGUCUGAAUCAGCUUGUGUGUUAGUGGAACGGUCUGGAAAGUCCGACGGUACAGGGUGAUAGUCCCGUACACCAAAAUGCACAGGUUGUGAACUCGAAGAGUAGGGCGGGACACGUGGUAUCCUGUCUGAAUAUGGGGGGACCAUCCUCCAAGGCUAAAUACUCCUGACUGACCGAUAGUGAACCAGUACCGUGAGGGAAAGGCGAAAAGAACCCCGGCGAGGGGAGUGAAAAAGAACCUGAAACCGUGUACGUACAAGCAGUGGGAGCACCUUCGGGUGUGACUGCGUACCUUUUGUAUAAUGGGUCAGCGACUUAUAUUCUGUAGCAAGGUUAACCGUAUAGGGGAGCCGCAGGGAAACCGAGUCUUAACUGGGCGUUAAGUUGCAGGGUAUAGACCCGAAACCCGGUGAUCUAGCCAUGGGCAGGUUGAAGGUUGGGUAACACUAACUGGAGGACCGAACCGACUAAUGUUGAAAAAUUAGCGGAUGACUUGUGGCUGGGGGUGAAAGGCCAAUCAAACCGGGAGAUAGCUGGUUCUCCCCGAAAGCUAUUUAGGUAGCGCCUCGUGAACUCAUCUUCGGGGGUAGAGCACUGUUUCGGCUAGGGGGUCAUCCCGACUUACCAACCCGAUGCAAACUACGAAUACCGAAGAAUGUUAUCACGGGAGACACACGGCGGGUGCUAACGUCCGUCGUGAAGAGGGAAACAACCCAGACCGCCAGCUAAGGUCCCAAAGUCAUGGUUAAGUGGGAAACGAUGUGGGAAGGCACAGACAGCCAGGAUGUUGGCUUAGAAGCAGCCAUCAUUUAAAGAAAGCGUAAUAGCUCACUGGUCGAGUCGGCCUGCGCGGAAGAUGUAACGGGGCUAAACCAUGCACCGAAGCUGCGGCAGCGACACUAUGUGUUGUUGGGUAGGGGAGCGUUCUGUAAGCCUGCGAAGGUGUGCUGUGAGGCAUGCUGGAGGUAUCAGAAGUGCGAAUGCUGACAUAAGUAACGAUAAAGCGGGUGAAAAGCCCGCUCGCCGGAAGACCAAGGGUUCCUGUCCAACGUUAAUCGGGGCAGGGUGAGUCGACCCCUAAGGCGAGGCCGAAAGGCGUAGUCGAUGGGAAACAGGUUAAUAUUCCUGUACUUGGUGUUACUGCGAAGGGGGGACGGAGAAGGCUAUGUUAGCCGGGCGACGGUUGUCCCGGUUUAAGCAUGUAGGCUGGUUAUCCAGGCAAAUCCGGAUAAUCAAGGCUGAGGUGUGAUGACGAGGCACUACGGUGCUGAAGUAACAAAUGCCCUGCUUCCAGGAAAAGCCUCUAAGCAUCAGGUAACAUCAAAUCGUACCCCAAACCGACACAGGUGGUCAGGUAGAGAAUACCAAGGCGCUUGAGAGAACUCGGGUGAAGGAACUAGGCAAAAUGGUGCCGUAACUUCGGGAGAAGGCACGCUGGUGUGUAGGUGAAGUCCCUGCGGAUGGAGCUGAGACCAGUCGAAGAUACCAGCUGGCUGCAACUGUUUAUUAAAAACACAGCACUGUGCAAACACGAAAGUGGACGUAUACGGUGUGACGCCUGCCCGGUGCCGGAAGGUUAAUUGAUGGGGUUAUCCGUAAGGAGAAGCUCUUGAUCGAAGCCCCGGUAAACGGCGGCCGUAACUAUAACGGUCCUAAGGUAGCGAAAUUCCUUGUCGGGUAAGUUCCGACCUGCACGAAUGGCGUAAUGAUGGCCAGGCUGUCUCCACCCGAGACUCAGUGAAAUUGAACUCGCUGUGAAGAUGCAGUGUACCCGCGGCAAGACGGAAAGACCCCGUGAACCUUUACUAUAGCUUGACACUGAACAUUGAGCCUUGAUGUGUAGGAUAGGUGGGAGGCUUUGAAGCGUGGACGCCAGUCUGCGUGGAGCCAACCUUGAAAUACCACCCUUUAAUGUUUGAUGUUCUAACGUUGGCCCCUUACCGGGGUUGCGGACAGUGUCUGGUGGGUAGUUUGACUGGGGCGGUCUCCUCCCAAAGCGUAACGGAGGAGCACGAAGGUUAGCUAAUCCUGGUCGGACAUCAGGAGGUUAGUGCAAUGGCAUAAGCUAGCUUGACUGCGAGCGUGACGGCGCGAGCAGGUGCGAAAGCAGGUCAUAGUGAUCCGGUGGUUCUGAAUGGAAGGGCCAUCGCUCAACGGAUAAAAGGUACUCCGGGGAUAACAGGCUGAUACCGCCCAAGAGUUCAUAUCGACGGCGGUGUUUGGCACCUCGAUGUCGGCUCAUCACAUCCUGGGGCUGAAGUAGGUCCCAAGGGUAUGGCUGUUCGCCAUUUAAAGUGGUACGCGAGCUGGGUUUAGAACGUCGUGAGACAGUUCGGUCCCUAUCUGCCGUGGGCGCUGGAGAAUUGAGGGGGCUGCUCCUAGUACGAGAGGACCGGAGUGGACGCAUCACUGGUGUUCGGGUUGUCAUGCCAAUGGCACUGCCCGGUAGCUAAAUGCGGAAGAGAUAAGUGCUGAAAGCAUCUAAGCACGAAACUUGCCCCGAGAUGAGUUCUCCCUGAGACUUUAAGUCUCCUGAAGGAACGUUAAAGACGAUGACGUUGAUAGGCCGGGUGUGUAAGCGCAGCGAUGCGUUGAGCUAACCGGUACUAAUGAACCGUGAGGCUUAACCUUACAACGCCGAAG